ACCUGACUGCUAUCGGAUUGAUACUAAGCCAUGCAAGUCUUUGUAGUAAUACAAGGCAUACGGCUCAGUAACGCGUAGUCAACCUACCCUAUGGAUGGGGAUAAUCUCGGGAAACUGAGCAUAAUACCCAACAGAUCAUCAAUUCUGGAAUGGUUGAUGAUUCAAAUGAUUUUUCGCCAUAGGAUGGGACUGCGGCCUAUCAGCUUGUUGGUGAGGUAAUGGCCCACCAAGGCAAUUACAGGUACGGGCUCUGAGAGGAGAAGCCCGGAGAUGGGUACUGAGACAAGGACCCAGGCCCUAUGGGGCGCAGCAGGCGAGAAAACUUUGCAAUGUGCGAAAGCACGACAAGGUUAAUCCGAGUGAUUUCUGCUAAAGGAAUCUUUUACCGGUUCUAAAAAUACUGGCGAAUAAGGGGUGGGCAAGUUCUGGUGUCAGCCGCCGCGGUAAAACCAGCACCUCAAGUGGUCAGGAGGAUUAUUGGGCCUAAAGCAUCCGUAGCCGGCUCUGUAAGUUUUCGGUUAAAUCUAUGUGCUCAACAUAUAGGCUGCCGAAAAUACUGCAUAGCUAGGGAAUGGGAGAGGUAGACGGUACUCGGUAGGAAGGGGUAAAAUCCUUUGAUCUAUCGAUGACCACCUGUGGCGAAGGCGGUCUACCAGAACAUGUCCGACGGUGAGGGAUGAAAGCUGGGGGAGCAAACCGGAUUAGAUACCCGGGUAGUCCCAGCUGUAAACGAUGCAGACUCGAUGAUGCAUUGGCAUAUAGCCAGUGCAGUGUCGCAGGGAAGCCGUUAAGUCUGCCGCCUGGGAAGUACGUACGCAAGUAUGAAACUUAAAGGAAUUGGCGGGGGAGCACCACAAGGGGUGAAGCCUGCGGUUC
rnacentral:rRNA from 1 species